rnacentral:rRNA from 1 species
GAUGAGCGCUGGCGGCGUGCCUAAUACAUGCAAGUCGAGCGAACGGACGAGAAGCUUGCUUCUCUGAUGUUAGCGGCGGACGGGUGAGUAACACGUGGAUAACCUACCUAUAAGGCUGGGAUAACUUCGGGAAACCGGAGCUAAUACCGGAUAAUAUUUUGAACCGCAUGGUUCAAAAGUGAAAGACGGUCUUGCUGUCACUUAUAGAUGGAUCCGCGCUGCAUUAGCUAGUUGGUAAGGUAACGGCUUACCAAGGCAACGAUGCAUAGCCGACCUGAGAGGGUGAUCGGCCACACUGGAACUGAGACACGGUCCAGACUCCUACGGGAGGCAGCAGUAGGGAAUCUUCCGCAAUGGGCGAAAGCCUGACGGAGCAACGCCGCGUGAGUGAUGAAGGUCUUCGGAUCGUAAAACUCUGUUAUUAGGGAAGAACAUAUGUGUAAGUAACUGUGCACAUCUUGACGGUACCUAAUCAGAAAGCCACGGCUAACUACGUG